UGGGGAAUAUUGGACAAUGGGCGAAAGCCUGAUCCAGCCAUGCCGCGUGUGUGAAGAAGGUCUUCGGAUUGUAAAGCACUUUAAGUUGGGAGGAAGGGCAGUAAGCGAAUACCUUGCUGUUUUGACGUUACCGACAGAAUAAGCACCGGCUAACUCUGUGCCAGCAGCCGCGGUAAUACAGAGGGUGCAAGCGUUAAUCGGAAUUACUGGGCGUACAGCGCGCGUAGGUGGUUCGUUAAGUUGAAUGUGAAAGACCCGGGCUCAACCUGGGAAAUGAAUCGAAAACGGGCGGGAUAGAGGAGGGCAGAGGGUGGUGGAAUAUCCUGUGUAGCGGUGAAAUGCGUAGAUAUAGGAAGGAACACCAGUGGCGAAGGCGACCACCUGGGCUCAUACUGACACUGAGGUGCGAAAGCGUGGGGAGCAAACAGG
rnacentral:rRNA from 1 species